rnacentral:rRNA from 1 species
UGGGGAAUCUUGGACAAUGGGCGCAAGCCUGAUCCAGCCAUGCCGCGUGAGUGACGAAGGUCUUCGGAUUGUAAAGCUCUUUUGCCAGGGACGAUAAUGACGGUACCUGGAGAAUAAGCCCCGGCUAACUUCGUGCCAGCAGCCGCGGUAAUACGAAGGGGGCUAGCGUUGUUCGGAAUUACUGGGCGUAAAGCGCACGUAGGCGGAUUUGUAAGUCAGGGGUGAAAUCCCGGGGCUCAACCUCGGAACUGCCUUUGAUACUGCGAAUCUCGAGUCCGGAAGAGGUGAGUGGAAUUCCUAGUGUAGAGGUGAAAUUCGUAGAUAUUAGGAAGAACACCAGUGGCGAAGGCGGCUCACUGGUCCGGUACUGACGCUGAGGUGCGAAAGCGUGGGGAGCAAACAGG